GUGCCCCAUAGCUGUGUGUGCGUGCCCCAUAGCAGUGUGUGCGCCCCAUAGCUGUGUGUGCGUGCCCCAUAGCUGUGUGUGCCCCAUAGCUGUGUGUGCCCCAUCGCUGUGUGCGCGCCCCCCGUGUCUGCCCGCCCCACACGUUGUGUUUGUGGCGCCCCCUGUCGGUGCGUGCAGGCGGUGCGGGCGCUGCUGGCGGUGUUCGUGGAGCAGCCGACCCCGUUCCUGGAGCUGUUCCUGCAGCGGCUGCUGCGCCUGGAGCUGCCCGGGGACAAAGUGCGGCUCUUCAUCCACAACCGCGUCAGUGCCUGCCCCACGGCUGCCCCAUA
rnacentral:lncRNA from 1 species